rnacentral:antisense_RNA from 1 species
CUCUAUGGCGGUUCAGGUAGGGGAGCCGAAAGGCUCGCCGGAGUUAGUGCCGGUCUGCAAACCUUAUCUGGAUCGCCUCCAAA